rnacentral:rRNA from 1 species
GUGCCAGCCGCCGCGGUAAUACGGAGGGGGUUAGCGUUGUUCGGAAUUACUGGGCGUAAAGCGCGCGUAGGCGGACUGUUAAGUCGGGGGUGAAAUCCCGGGGCUCAACCCCGGAACUGCCCUCGAUACUGGCAGUCUUGAGUUCGAGAGAGGUGAGUGGAAUUCCGAGUGUAGAGGUGAAAUUCGUAGAUAUUCGGAGGAACACCAGUGGCGAAGGCGGCUCACUGGCACGAUACUGACGCUGAGGUGCGAAAGUGUGGGGAGCAAACAGGAUUAGAAACCCUAGUAGUC